rnacentral:lncRNA from 1 species
UUGAUAAGAAAUUCUAAGUUAAACUUUGUGUUGUUGCUUUGACAGAGUUUCAGCGUUUUUCUUUAAAGAGACGUUGAUCUUUUCUUCAAGUCUUCGACUCCUUAUAUUGGCUUGAAUAAAGAUACAUUGAAGUUGUCCUUGCACAAAUAGAGUCGUCGAGAAGCUUUGACCCAAAGAUGUUGAUCAAAUCCUUGAUUUAGAUAAUGUCGUUGAAUGACAUUUGAAAACUCUUUGCUACAAGAGGAAUUUGUCGUUCAUUCCAUUUGUCUUUGAAUCUUUUGUUUGUUUGAUAAUGCAUGUGAUCAGAAGACAA